rnacentral:rRNA from 1 species
GAAUGUGGGGCCUGCCCUUACCAUGCAAGUCGAACGGCAGCGGGGGAGAAGCUUGCUUCUCCUGCCGGCGAGUGGCGAACGGGUGAGUAAUACAUCGGAACGUGCCCUGUAGUGGGGGAUAACUAGUCGAAAGAUUAGCUAAUACCGCAUACGACCUGAGGGUGAAAGUGGGGGACCGCAAGGCCUCAUGCUAUAGGAGCGGCCGAUGUCUGAUUAGCUAGUUGGUGGGGUAAAGGCCCACCAAGGCGACGAUCAGUAGCUGGUCUGAGAGGACGAUCAGCCACACUGGGACUGAGACACGGCCCAGACUCCUACGGGAGGCAGCAGUGGGGAAUUUUGGACAAUGGGCGAAAGCCUGAUCCAGCAAUGCCGCGUGUGUGAAGAAGGCCUUCGGGUUGUAAAGCACUUUUGUCCGGAAAGAAAUGGCUCUGGUUAAUACCUGGGGUCGAUGACGGUACCGGAAGAAUAAGGACCGGCUAACUACGUGCCAGCAGCCGCGGUAAUACGUAGGGUCCAAGCGUUAAUCGGAAUUACUGGGCGUAAAGCGUGCGCAGGCGGUUGUGCAAGACCGAUGUGAAAUCCCCGAGCUUAACUUGGGAAUUGCAUUGGUGACUGCACGGCUAGAGUGUGUCAGAGGGGGGUAGAAUUCCACGUGUAAUAUUGAAAUGCGUACAAGAUGUGGAGGAAUACUGUUGGGUGAAAGCAUCCCCCUGGCAAGCAACUC